CGGCAACAGCUCAAAUUUGAAAUCUGGCCCCUAGGGCCCGAGUUGUAAUUUGCAGAGGAUGCUUUUGGCGAGGUGCCUUCCGAGUUCCUUGGAACAGGACGUCAUAGAGGGUGAGAAUCCCGUAUGUGACUGGCGGCCUUCGCCUAUGUGAAGCUCUUUCGAC
rnacentral:rRNA from 1 species